rnacentral:tRNA from 1 species
GGUUAGGGCUCAGUGGUAGAGCACUUGCCUAGCAUGCAUGAGGCACUGGGUUUGAUCCUCAGCACUA